UCAUGAUCAUCUUCCUUAAUUUUGUUUUAUUAAAUUUUUAUAACAUGUUUGAGUUGGAUUAUCGAUAUUAAUAGUCUUGUAAGUUUAACGUUUUUUUAAAACGUUCCAUUUUUUAAUUUUUAAUUAUUUAAAUUGAGUCGAAAAUUCAUCCAAUUUCAAUUUCCUUUCAAUUAACUAAAUAGACCAUCCACGUCACCUACCACAUCAUCAUUAAUCUCAAUCAUUAAUUCAACGAAUUAAAAAUUAAGAAGAAAAAAUCAUCUCUCUACCCCUCGACCCUCUCUCUCCCUUUCUUUCUUUCUUUCUUUCUUCUUCUCUCUCCUUUUCAUCUCUCUGGGAAUGGUGGUACUUUCAUCUCCUUCCACUUUCUGCUCAAACGAACUAAAGAACUGGAAAAAGAAGAGAAGCAUCAAUGGGGGCCCCUAAAAUUAAAAGGAUUAAAGGACUACUUAACACACUUAAAUUCUAAAAUUGACAAGGAAGGUAGGAAUUGAUGAAAGAAUCAGUACCCAUUAUCCCGUCCUUCUCUUUUUGCAAUUUAAGCAGAAAGCAAAGAUUAAUAAGUGUGUUUCUUAUAAAAAAAUUGAAUAAAGUGUAUUUACUGCACUGGUAUGGCCAUAAAUUCUUAUCUCUGUAUUUUCACUAUUCCCAGCAUUACUGCGUUCCUCUGCAGACCCAAAAACCCAGCUUUUCUGGAAACAUACUAAAAAGAACAGUCACUUCCACUUCCAGUGAAUGCUUCCCUACAGUUGGUUAAUUUGGCGCAUUUACUGAACUCUAUGAAGCUAAUUAGAGGAUCGACAUGGUUAAAUCCCAUUUCAGCGGAGGUGGCCUAGUGAAAUGAGUAGAAAAAAAGCAGAGUACUAGAUUUCGAAUUAGGAGACAGGAAUCGAAAGUAGUAGUAUAGAGGGUAAAAACAAGUACUGUCAUCGCCGAGGAUAGCAGAGGCCAAAAGUGCGAACAAAAAGAGAAAGCAUAGAGACAGCCAUUUACUUCUUGGAUUAUGUAGACUGGACAGGGAAGGACUAAGGAGAAGGGUGAAGGAGCGUGAGAAUCAGAGAGACGAAAGGGAGAGAGAGGAAGAAAGAAAGG
rnacentral:lncRNA from 1 species